AGAGAGGUAAGAAAAGAAUGGUUAAAUAUUUGUUUCUUACACUUUUUUUUUCCCCCUUUUUCAAGACCUUAAACAAGAAAUGAGGUGGGGGGGGGGAAAAAAGACUCUUCUUUUUUUUUUUUUUUUUAAGGGAAGAUGGAAAUGUUAAUUAAUUAACAACUUUUGUUAAUUUCUAAUAAUUUCCCGCAUUCCCAGGGCGUUUGUUACUCUCAAGUGAGUCUAUGCGCACCUAGAGCGUACACGAUGAUACCCGAAAGAUGGUGAACUAUGCCUGGCCAGGACGAAGCCAGGGGAAACCCUGGUGGAGGUUCGCAGCGAUUCUGACGUGCAAAUCGAUCGUCAGAGCUGGGUAUAGGGGCGAAAGACCAAUCGAACCAUCUAGUAGCUGGUUCCCUCUGAAGUUUCCCUCAGGAUAGCUUGCGCUCGAUUUUAGAGUCUCAUCCGGUAGAGCGAAUGAUUAGAGGCUAUGGGGUCGAAACGACCUCAACCUAUUCUCAAACUCCAAAUAGAUGAGACCCC
rnacentral:rRNA from 1 species